rnacentral:lncRNA from 1 species
GAGGAGCGAAAUUCUUCAAAACCUGAGGAUAGCAAUCCCGGGGAACGAAAUGCUUCAAAACCUGAGGAUAGCAAUCCCGAGGAGCGAAAUGCUUCAAAGCCCGAGGAGCAAAAUGCUUCAAAACCUGAGGAUAGCAAUCCCAAGGAGCGAAAUGCUUCAAAGCCCGAGGAGCGAAAUGCUGCAAAGCCCGAGGAGUGAAAUGCUUCAAAACUUGAGGAUAGCAAUUGUUGAGAACUCCCUAGUUUUUUACUUCCCCGAGGACUCGUGUAUAAAGUUUGCUCAAUUUUUUAGUAUUCAUGGUUGUACUAAUUUUGUGUUGUAAUAUCAACAGCUUCUUAUUUGAAUGUUCAUACGUGUAACAUCUAGAAAAGUUAAAGAUUAUUUUAGAUCUCCCUGAUCCCCUUCCAUUUACGUCUUGUUGAAGUUUUUUUUUUUUACAUUAACCUCUGUUUCCAUUUGUUAUUUUAGUUGGAGCAAUAUAUUUUGUAAGGGUAUUAGAAAUCCUAUUAAGAUUAUGUUCUUUUUGCCAUUCCUUUGAUCAAUUAUG